rnacentral:rRNA from 1 species
CCUACGGUGGGCAGCAGUGGGGAAUUUUGGACAAUGGGGGCAACCCUGAUCCAGCCAUUCCGCGUGAGUGAAGAAGGCCUUCGGGUUGUAAAGCUCUUUUGUCCGGAGCGAAACGGGCGGCCCUAAUACGGUCGUCUACUGACGGUACCGGAAGAAUAAGCACCGGCUAACUACGUGCCAGCAGCCGCGGUAAUACGUACGGUGCUAGCGGUAAUCGGAAUUGCUCAGGCGAAUGUGUAAGCAGGCUGUGAAAUCCCCGGGCUCAACCUGGGAAUGGCAUUUGGGACUGCAAGGCUGGAGUGUGGCAGAGGGGACUAGAAUUCCUGGUGUAGCAGUGAAAUGCGUAGAUAUCAGGAGGAAUACCGAUGGCGAAGGCAGGUCCCUGGGUUAACACUGACGCUCAUGCACGAAAGCGUGGGGAGCAAACAGGAUUAGAUACCCCAGUAGUC